rnacentral:rRNA from 1 species
AGCGAACGCUGGCGGCAGGCCUAACACAUGCAAGUCGAGCGGAUCCUUCGGGGUUAGUGGCGGACGGGUGAGUAACACGUGGAACGUGCCCGUUGGUUCGGAACAACUCAGGGAAACUUGAGCUAAUACCGGAUGUGCCCUUCGGGGGAAAGAUUUAUCGCCAUUGGAGCGGCCCGCGUCUGAUUAGCUAGUUGGUGAGGUAAAGGCUCACCAAGGCGACGAUCAGUAGCUGGUCUGAGAGGAUGAUCAGCCACAUUGGGACUGAGACACGGCCCAAACGCCUACGGGAGGCAGCAGUGGGGAAUCUUGCGCAAUGGGCGAAAGCCUGACGCAGCCAUGCCGCGUGAAUGAUGAAGGUCUUAGGAUUGUAAAAUUCUUUCUCCGGGGACGAUAAUGACGGUACCCGGAGAAGAAGCCCCGGCUAACUUCGUGCCAGCCGCCGCGGUAA